UAUUUGUAUAUUAUAUUUGUUAUUUAUUCAUUAUUUGUUUAAAUUGUAUAUAAAUUAUUGAUGCAUUUCAUGAUAUUUCUGUUGUAUGUAUAGUAUAUUAAAGGACGGUUUUGCGGAACCGCAGUCGGACUUUUUUAUACUCAACCCUUUUCCAGAAGGAUCGGCGAUUUAUUGGUACGUCAUGCGUCCAAUGGUUGUUGUGAAUUCCAGCCUAAGUUGUCCACUUGGGUUCCCGGUCUUUCAAAAGCCUCUCUUAGUCAACUAGCGUAGAGUGAAACCAAAUCUCAAUUUCUAGCGCAUUUUGAACUAGGUCGACCUAACACUCAAGGCGUGUUAGGCCCAUUAGAAGUCUAGCUUGUGUCUAUUUGGCCAAUUGAUCAAUAAAAGACAAUUAUUUGUAUCUGUUUAAAUUUGAAGGAUGUAUACGUCAUUUGACAAAACAAUGUUCCUUGGGUUAGGGAGUUUAAGAAUUUGUUCGAGUCAAAGAAUGAUCAAAUUACCAUUGCAUCUGAAGACGUUGACAUUUAGAGAUGGAUGCUUAGUAUAGGAUUGUACCCUUGUGUGGGAUCGAUUUUUGUAUCAUUUUUCUCUAUUAUGUAUACCCAUUCAAUUUAUUUACGAUGCUUGUAUAGAUUUUAAUUUUUUGGGGACAAUAGAAUGUUGUCAAAUGGCGUUAUACAUUUUUCAGAUCGAUAGGCUUACCCUUGGCACAAAACGGUCACAUAUUUAUAUAGAACGCACAAUAAUUGUUUAUAUGCUAUGUGAUAUAAUUGAGUUUGUUUUCAAUCAAAGUAGUGUUUAUGUGUUUAAUUUAUUUAUUUAUUUUUGUGAUAUUUUGCAUUAUUCAUUAUGAGUACAAAUUAACACUUUUAUCUUUUGAGUUUAUCCUUUUUUUAAGUGAGAGAUUGAUCUAUAUCAGAAUUUAGAAGUCAUUGUUCGUCCAAAGUUGCAAGGGACAAAAGGAUUCGUGAAGUUCAAGUGUUUAUAUUUCACAAGACAUUAAUCUCAAGUCAAAAAGAUAAAUCAGGGGAGUCUUUGACUAUGAGGUCGCACUCAUUUAUCUUUCAUUAUUUUUUGCAUGUUGGCCCUGCUUUCACACAUUUCUAAUAUUUUUGCAGGAAAACCAUCCCCGACGAUAAUCGGGGAAUGGUCAUAACAAUGUCUAAUUCUCGUGGAUAAUUGGGAGAAGACAGUUCCAAGAGGCAUUAAAAAAAAAUACAACAACAAGUGAUUAUUGUAAGAAAAAUGAGAGACCACAUUCAACAGAAAGCACAAAGAUCGACGGUUAAGGGGAUACAAUGAAUCACUCCGAGUUUGUCUAAAAUUUUAAAUUAAUUUAUGACAUAUCUGCACGAACUACGCGUACCUGAUUCUCAUUUUCAUGAGAUAUGUAGGCAACCGCUUUUGGGUUCGAUAUUCACUUUUCAUUUUUAUUUUUUUUAAAAAAAUAAAAUAAAAUGGUUUGUUUAUUUUUAGGAUCAUAUCUCAAUGAACUACGCGAACCUGAUUCUCAUUUUCAUGAGAUACGUAGGCAGCCCUUCUUGGGUUCGGUAUUCAUUCUUUUAAAUUCAAAAAUAAAUAAAUCAAAUAGUUUAUGCAUAUUUUCAAAGACAUAUCUGCAUGAACUACGCACACCUGAUUCUCAUUUUGAUGAGAUACGUAGGC
rnacentral:lncRNA from 1 species